rnacentral:tRNA from 3 species
GCCUCCUUAGCUCAGGGGUAGAGCAGCUCCCUCGUAAAGAGCAGGUCGCCGGUUCAAAUCCGGCAGGGGGCUC